GCCCAGACUCCUACGGGAGGCAGCAGUGGGGAAUAUUGCACAAUGGGGGAAACCCUGAUGCAGCGACGCCGCGUGAGUGAAGAAGUAUUUCGGUAUGUAAAGCUCUAUCAGCAGGGAAGAAGAUGACGGUACCUGACUAAGAAGCCCCGGCUAACUACGUGCCAGCAGCCGCGGUAAUACGUAGGGGGCAAGCGUUAUCCGGAUUUACUGGGUGUAAAGGGAGCGUAGACGGCGAUGCAAGCCAGAUGUGAAAGCCCGGGGCUCAACCCCGGGACUGCAUUUGGAACUGUGUGGCUGGAGUGUCGGAGAGGCAGGCGGAAUUCCUAGUGUAGCGGUGAAAUGCGUAGAUAUUAGGAGGAACACCAGUGGCGAAGGCGGCCUGCUGGACGAUGACUGACGUUGAGGCUCGAAAGCGUGGGGAGCAAACAGGAUUAGAUACCCUGGUA
rnacentral:rRNA from 1 species